AUUGAACGCUGGCGGCAGGCCUAACACAUGCAAGUCGAGCGAGCGGCGGACGGGUGAGUAAUGUCUGGGGAUCUGCCUGAUGGAGGGGGAUAACUACUGGAAACGGUAGCUAAUACCGCAUACCAUCGGAUGUACCCAUAUGGGAUUAGCUAGUAGGUGGGGUAACGGCUCACCUAGGCGACGAUCCCUAGCUGGUCUGCGAGGAUGACCAGCCACACUGGGACUGAGACACGGCCCAGACGCCUACGGGAGGCAGCAGUGGGGAAUAGUGCACAAUGGGCGCAAGCCGGAUGCAGCCAUGCCGCGUGUAUGAAGAAGGCCUUAGGGUUGUAAAGUACUUUCAGCGGGGAGGCGUUACCCGCAGAAGAAGCACCGGCUAACUCCGUGCCAGCGGCCGCGGUAAUAC
rnacentral:rRNA from 1 species